ensembl:snRNA LOC120101204 U6 spliceosomal RNA
GUGCUCACUUUGGCAGACGCGCUGGAACCAAAAUAAUACACGGAAGCUUAACAUGGCCCCUGCACGAGGAUGACAUGCGGAUUCCUGAGGCAGUCCGUAUUUUA